rnacentral:rRNA from 1 species
UGGGGAAUAUUGCACAAUGGGGGAAACCCUGAUGCAGCAACGCCGCGUGAAGGACGAAGGCUUUCGGGUCGUAAACUUCAAUCAAUAGCUAAUAAGAAUGAAUAGCUAAAGUGAAGCCCCGGCUAACUACGUGCCAGCAGCCGCGGUAAUACGUAGGGGGCAAGCGUUAUCCGGAAUUACUGGGUGUAAAGGGUGAGUAGGCGGUCAGGCAAGUCAUGUGUGAAAAUUAACUGCUCAACGGUUAACGUGCACAAGAAACUGCUUGACUAGAGUACAGGAGAGGUAAGCGGAAUUCCUAGUGUAGCGGUGAAAUGCAUAGAUAUUAGGAAGAACACCGGUGGCGAAGGCGGCUUACUGGACUGAAACUGACGCUGAGUCACGAAAGCGUGGGGAGCAAACA